UACGAAGGGUGCAAGCGUUAUUCGGAAUUACUGGGCGUAAAGGGUGCGUAGGCGGUUCGUUAAGUCUGUCGUGAAAUCCCCGGGCUCAACCUUGGAAUGGCGAUGGAUACUGGCGAGCUAGAGUGUGUCAGGGGAUGGUGGAAUUCCCGGUGUAGCGGUGAAAUGCGUAGAGAUCGGGAGGAACAUCAGUGGCGAAGGCGGCCAUCUGGGACAACACUGACGCUGAAGCACGAAAGCGUGGGGAGCAAACAGG
rnacentral:rRNA from 1 species